CCAUUUUUGAAUCAGACGAAGAUCGCAGUGCCAAACGAGGAACGUUUUCUUUAUGAGGAAACACAGAGUUUUACAGUGCUACAUGUGGCUGUGCAGAGAUUAUGGUUCCUCUCACACAUCCAGAUCAAAUCCAGCACUCUUUAUAGAGCAAGAGGUAUCUGUGAAAUUCAGUUGGAUUACAACAAUCCCUUUGGUCUCCAAAUAUAUGGGACUGCUUGAUCAUUUCUCAAAUCAAAGAAAGGAGCAGCAGCAGCACAGAAGAUCACAAACAUCAUGUCAGUUAUGGCUCAGAAUGUCUCCAUCAGCAAAAAAUGUGAAUGCAUCCUGAAAGCCCUGGCUGUCUGCCUGAAGGAAGACCCCUCAAACCUUGUGAAGGAGUACAUGGUAGGUUAUUUACCUUUUUCAUUAAAACCUAGU
rnacentral:lncRNA from 1 species